rfam:Oryza rufipogon genomic scaffold, chr01
AAAGAUCGCAGUUUUACACUAUUUAUGUUCAAUGUUUGACUAUAUGUUUUAUUUUUUAAAAAAAAUAUGAUUAGUAUUUUUGUUGUUAUUAGAUGAUAAAACAUAAAUACUACUUUAUGUGUGACUAUUUUUUAAAAAAAAUCAUAUUUUUUUCACAUAAAACAGAUGAUCAAACAUUGGACAAGAAAACCCACAAGUGCAUUUAAA